rnacentral:rRNA from 2 species
AAGUCGAAACGAUGACCCCGUGCUUGCACGGGUGAUUAGUGGCGAACGGGUGAGUAACACGUGAGUAACCUGCCCCCGACUUUGGGAUAAGCCCGGGAAACUGGGUCUAAUACCGGAUAUGACUUCUUACCGCAUGGUGGGUUGUUGAAAGAUUUAUCGGUGGGGGAUGGACUCGCGGCCUAUCAGCUUGUUGGGUGAGGUAAUGGCUCACCAAGGCGACGACGGGUAGCCGGCCUGAGAGGGUGACCGGCCACACUGGGACUGAGACACGGCCCAGACUCCUACGGGAGGCAGCAGUGGGGAAUAUUGCACAAUGGGCGAAAGCCUGAUGCAGCGACGCCGCGUGAGGGAUGACGGCCUUCGGGUUGUAAACCUCUUUCAGUAGGGAAGAAGCGAAAGUGACGGUACCUGCAGAAGAAGCGCCGGCUAACUACGUGCCAGCAGCCGCGGUAAUACGUAGGGCGCAAGCGUUAUCCGGAUUUAUUGGGCGUAAAGAGCUCGUAGGCGGUUUGUCGCGUCUGCCGUGAAAGUCCGAGGCUCAACCUCGGAUCUGCGGUGGGUACGGGCAGACUAGAGUGAUGUAGGGGAGACUGGAAUUCCUGGUGUAGCGGUGAAAUGCGCAGAUAUCAGGAGGAACACCGAUGGCGAAGGCAGGUCUCUGGGCAUUUACUGACGCUGAGGAGCGAAAGCAUGGGGAGCGAACAGGAUUAGAUACCCUGGUAGUCCAUGCCGUAAACGUUGGGCACUGGUGUGGGGGACAUUCCACGUUUUCCGCGCCGUAGCUAACGCAUU